rnacentral:rRNA from 1 species
CACGUAGGCGGAUUGUUAAGUUAGGGGUGAAAUCCCGGGGCUCAACCCCGGAACUGCCUCUAAUACUGGCAAUCUCGAGUCCGAGAGAGGUGAGUGGAAUUCCGAGUGUAGAGGUGAAAUUCGUAGAUAUUCGGAGGAACACCAGUGGCGAAGGCGGCUCACUGGCUCGGUACUGACGCUGAGGUGCGAAAGCGUGGGGAGGCAAAACA